GGUCUCCUUAUAUAGGCAUGAAGAGUCUGGCUUUUACAGGCAACCGGCAAGUGACUGGCUAUCGACACUCUAAAGUAAAAGAUUCUUACAGAGUGGAAAAGAAAUAAAGAUAGUAAAAGCACACUUAUUAUCACACUUAUUACAUAUCAUGGCCGACAGGCUAUAACUUUGAUCAUGGCAUUGUUGACAGAUUGAAUGUGUCAUAAUCAAAGUCAUCUGAGUCAUCAACUCCAAAAAGUCUUUUGACCAUUGGCUGUGCUCAACUGGUGACAGUGGGUCAGCAUUUUCGGUGGCUUCUCGUGCUUCAAUAUCCAUUGGAUCCUAAGAAUCCUGCCAGAUUGAAUGGGACCAAUCUAUGGGAUCAUUGGCAAGAGACUGGAUAGGUCCGAGAGACGUACAAUUCACGUGAGGAAGGGUCAGAGGUUGAUAUCCGUUGAUCUCAUAGAGAUGUUCUGCCAGCUGUCUUCUUAGUGGCCUCAUAGUGUCCUUUUCCGUGAUAGAGCCCUCG
rnacentral:misc_RNA from 1 species